AAAAAGAUAAGCUAACUAAGCUUUUAGGUUCAUACCCCAAAUAUAAAGGUAGGUACCCCUUUUCUUUUUA
rnacentral:tRNA from 1 species